rfam:Canis lupus familiaris chromosome 4, whole genome shotgun sequence.
CGGGGGAGGCCGGAUCCUGGGCUGUGUCCCGGCGCCCUGUGCUCGGAGCCUGCGCUGUUGGAUUCGCGCUCCCGGGCCGCGCAACCCCCA